AUCAUAUCGGUAUCUAAAAUUCUCGUAAGUAGUUUGAUUAGUACUAAUGAGAUAUAAAUGGAAGGCAGUAAGGCCACCAACAAACCACAUUGAUAUGAAAGUGUAAACUAUUAGAACAAUGGAGGCAGGAGUUUUGAUCAUUGCUUUCCAAAUUGAUGUGUGCUCUGAUACCAUGAUCCUCCUAAUGUAGACCCAGCAGAAUGCAAAAACAUAUAUACAAAGAAGGGUUGCUGAGAAGACAAACAUGAAGAAGAAUCGAUAAUUUCUCAACCCAAUACAUUGCCCAACCCAAGGACAGUGAUGGUCAAAUCGUUCUACACAGUUGUUGCAUAUUGAACAGUGUGAACAGCGAGGUGGCCUGUAAAGCAUGCAAGUAUCACAGUACUUAAUCUUCACAGUUGCUCCAUUGACCUCUACCUCCUUAAUUCGUGGCAAACGUAACUGUGGAGUUUGACCAGCACCAACAUCUGCAGUUCCAUCAAAGCCUUCUGGUUCAGGAGGAUGUGCAUUGCGGGGAAUUAUGCCAGGAUCUCUUCCAGA
rnacentral:misc_RNA from 1 species